AAUCAAAUGUAUUUUAUUAGAAUUUCAUUUUAGAAACAUUAGCCUGUAAAAACUUCACAAGGGAUAAAUAAGUACAUAUCACUGAAUAGCUAAUUUCUUUAUGAUGUUUGUGGAUGUUAAAAAGUCUCAAUUACAGGUAAAAAAAAAAAACAUCUGCCUAAAUACAAUAACCCCACAGCAAUAACUCAACAAACCAUGGGGGAAAAAAACUACAACAUCACAAAGAUUCACUACACUGGUACAAACGUGUUGAAUUAUUCUUUCCAGAGGUGUCAAAAGUACUCACAAAAGGCCUUCAUCGCUCCCCUGCUGAUGGAUGACCUUAAUGAACCUACCAUUAGGCUCAGCAGUCUUCCUGAAGAAAUAUUGCAGGAUCCUCUGUGUUGGAUGACCUCAGUGACCCUAUAAUAGGACUCAGCAGGUUUUUCUGGAGGAAACCCUGGAAGUGUUCCCAGGCAAGCAGGAAUCAUCUUGUUUUCACCUCUGAUUUCACCCUUCAUCGACCCCCAUCGACAGUCAGAAAAGCCCUGCAUCCCCUUCCCAACCACUGACGGAAAAGGCUUUCAUUGCCCCCCCAACCUUCCUCAAACAUUUAAAAUAAUAUUUUCUCUCAUUCUGCCAAAACCUGGAUGGUAUUUGGUUUGAUGUUUGGUCUCAACUUACCCUUUUUAUUUUUGAAGGACAGUUUUGUUUGGAGACUGUAAUUCAUUUCAUGUGUUGUGCUUGUUUACUUUAGAUAACUAAAAUGUCUUCCAGUUCCAGUGUUAAAUGUUUGUUAGAAUUCAGUAUUUAUUUAUCUUUGAGAAUGUGUUCAGUGUGUUCUUGCAUUAUGGUAUUACCAUGAUUAUUAUGGCAUUGAUUAAGAAAAUCCUUAGAAUAGUUUAGGCUAUCCUGAUCUUUCUCCUUAGUCAUACUGCUGUAGGUUUAGGUUACUGGACGACAAAUCGAUCACUUUUUCUCAAUUUUCGUUUCUACUACAUUAUUUAUUUUAACUGUAAACAUUUUGUUUUCUCAGUUAUUUUUCUCUUCAUAGAACCUACACCUGGUCUGGUGUUCUGAUUGACUGUGGUUCCUCAGUUUCACACACUGUUACUUCUGAAUUAAGAUGCCUGUUGAUGCACAUCUGACUUUUGGUAACUUGACAUUUUUUAACCCAAACACACAGCGGGCUCUGAUGGGUGACCCCAGCAGUGCUACCACCAGGCUCAGCAGGUGUUUUGGAGAAAACCUUGGAAGUCUUCCUGGGUGACUCUUCUUUAUCCAGUUCUCCAUUUUGACUUGGAACCUUCUUAGCAAUCUUCCUCGAGAAAUGCUGCAGGUAUUUUGCUGUUAUUUAAGUGAUAUUUACAUGUGUGAGUUUUUGAAAAUUUGUAGUUUCAUUUUGAGACGUUACAGGGUUUGACUUGAAACCUGCACUCGUCCUGUUGUCAUCGCCCUCCCAUUCUGUUGUCACUGUCCACCCGUCUUGUUGUCGUCGCCCUUGCUUGAUAAUUUGUAAAUGUAGAGGAGCUGGUUCACCUUUGACCUCUAGAAACUUUUAUUAAUAUCUUUAAAAUGAUUCACUAACAAAUUAUUGCUGUACAAACAUUUGACACAAAUUUUGUAAUUUUGUUCACUCAGGAUUCAGAAGCAGGUUGGAACAGAAAUGUCUUCAAUAAAUUAUCCAGUCUCUGAUUAUUAAUUAUGCCCACUAACGAGCUCAGAGUUUUAACAAUGAACAAUUUAUGGUUUCAGAAGAGAUUCCCUAAUGCUUCGUUAACCGAUCACAGGAUGUGGCUCAUAGUGGGCAGGGGUUUGGGAUCAUAGUGGGUGAGGUGGGGGCAGACAAGACCAAAAACGGCGACCUGAGAGUCUUUCUUUGGUCUUAGUGAAAAUAGAAACUGUUUGGAAGACUAGAGGAUAGAGCAGGUGGUUAAUUAGGGAAAGUUGUGGGUUCAAAACCCUCUAGAGGCCUUUAGAGAGGAGUUGCCUUGGUUUGGUACUCUGGUUUUCUCCUGCAGAGAGUAUGUAAAUGUUUCCCCAGAUUUGGUUUGGCCACAAUUUAAGAGCCAGUGAAACGCUAAAUACUGGCGGCUGAUUGGCAGUGGUGCUCUGAGGCCUCAGCUGUUGCGUCUGUAUCAGCCACAGCCGAAUGGAUCGGGUUGGCCUCGGAAGCCUAAGCAGCUCUCCCAGAACCUCCUGUCUGAUCUGAGCCAUGCCGGCACUCUCAGAGCAUUUAAUUAUCAGAAAUCUGGAAUAAGAUGCUGCCUGUUAAGAAAAGGUUACCUCCCUCUGCUGAGAGAGAAAUAAAACCUUAUUGCUUAGAGAGACACGUCUCUGGUCUCUGUGGAGUCAGGCGCUGCACCUUUAAAGCAGAGCAGAAACAUCUGAGUGAGUUUUUAUCUUCAGGCAGAUGAUGAAGAGGAGCUGAAAAUCUUUACCUCAUCUG